AGCUUUGCGCAGUGACAUUACCGUAGCUGAUGAGGUCCAUCCGAGGCGCGGUUAUUGCUGAUUGAAAACUUUUCCCAAUACCCCGCGAGACGACUUGAAACAUAGUCUGCUUUGCAAUUUUUGUGGGCCCUGCUUAGGG
rnacentral:snRNA from 2 species